GACGAACGCUGGCGGCGUGCUUAACACAUGCAAGUCGAACGGAAAGGCCCUGCUUUUGUGGGGUGCUCGAGUGGCGAACGGGUGAGUAACACGUGAGUAACCUGCCCUUGACUUUGGGAUAACUUCAGGAAACUGGGGCUAAUACCGGAUAGGAUCUCCUGCUGCAUGGUGGGGGUUGGAAAGUUUCGGCGGUUGGGGAUGGACUCGCGGCUUAUCAGCUUGUUGGUGGGGUAGUGGCUUACCAAGGCUUUGACGGGUAGCCGGCCUGAGAGGGUGACCGGCCACAUUGGGACUGAGAUACGGCCCAGACUCCUACGGGAGGCAGCAGUGGGGAAUAUUGCACAAUGGGAGGAAGCCUGAUGCAGCAACGCCGCGUGCGGGAUGACGGCCUUCGGGUUAUAAACCGCUUUCGCCUGUGACGAAGCGUGAGUGACGGUAAUGGGUAAAGAAGCACCGGCUAACUACGUG
rnacentral:rRNA from 1 species